AUUGAACGCUGGCGGCAGGCCUAACACAUGCAAGUCGAGCGGAUGAAGGGAGCUUGCUCCUGGAUUCAGCGGCGGACGGGUGAGUAAUGCCUAGGAAUCUGCCUGGUAGUGGGGGAUAACGUCCGGAAACGGGCGCUAAUACCGCAUACGUCCUGAGGGAGAAAGUGGGGGAUCUUCGGACCUCACGCUAUCAGAUGAGCCUAGGUCGGAUUAGCUAGUUGGUGGGGUAAAGGCCUACCAAGGCGACGAUCCGUAACUGGUCUGAGAGGAUGAUCAGUCACACGGGAACUGAGACACGGUCCAGACUCCUACGGGAGGCAGCAGUGGGGAAUAUUGGACAAUGGGCGAAAGCGUGAUCCAGCCAUGCCGCGUGUGUGAAGAAGGUCUGCGGAUUGUAAAGCACUUUAAGUUGGGAGGAAAGGCAGUAAGUGAAUACCUUGCUGUGUUGACGUUACCAACAGAAUAAGCACCGGCUAACUUCGUG
rnacentral:rRNA from 1 species